rnacentral:rRNA from 1 species
UUCCGGUUGAUCCUGCCGGAGGCCAUUGCUAUCGGAGUCCGAUUUAGCCAUGCUAGUUGCGCGGGUUCAGCCCCGCAGCGGAAAGCUCAGUAACACGUGGCCAAGCUACCCUGUGGACGGGAAUAAUCUCGGGAAACUGAGGCUAAUACCCGAUAACGCUUCGCUCCUGGAACGGGCGAAGCCGGAAACGCUCCGGCGCCACAGGAUGCGGCUGCGGUCGAUUAGGUAGACGGUGGGGUAACGGCCCACCGUGCCUAUAAUCGGUACGGGUUGUGAGAGCAAGAGCCCGGAGACGGAAUCUGAGACAAGAUUCCGGGCCCUACGGGGCGCAGCAGGCGCGAAACCUUUACACUGUACGAAAGUGCGAUAAGGGGACUCCGAGUGUGAAGGCAUAGAGCCUUCACUUUUGUACACCGUAAGGUGGUGUACGAAUAAGGACUGGGCAAGACCGGUGCCAGCCGCCGCGGUAAUACCGGCAGUCCGAGUGAUGGCCGAUCUUAUUGGGCCUAAAGCGUCCGUAGCUGGCUAGACAAGUCCGUUGGGAAAUCUGCCCGCUUAACGGGCAGGCGUCCAGCGGAAACUGUCUAGCUUGGGACCGGAAGACCUGAGGGGUACGUCUGGGGUAGGAGUGAAAUCCUGUAAUCCUGGACGGACCGCCGGUGGCGAAAGCGCCUCAGGAGAACGGAUCCGACAGUGAGGGACGAAAGCUAGGGUCUCGAACCGGAUUAGAUACCCGGGUAGUCCUAGCUGUAAACGAUGUCCGCUAGGUGUGGCGCAGGCUACGAGCCUGCGCUGUGCCGUAGGGAAGCCGAGAAGCGGACCGCCUGGGAAGUACGUCUGCAAGGAUGAAACUUAAAGGAAUUGGCGGGGGAGCACUACAACCGGAGGAGCCUGCGGUUUAAUUGGAUUCAACGCCGGA